CCUACGGGCGGCUGCAGUGGGGAAUAUUGCACAAUGGGCGCAAGCCUGAUGCAGCCAUGCCGCGUGUGUGAAGAAGGCCUUCGGGUUGUAAAGCACUUUCAGCGGGGAGGAAGGCGGUGAGGUUAAUAACCUCAUCGAUUGACGUUACCCGCAGAAGAAGCACCGGCUAACUCCGUGCCAGCAGCCGCGGUAAUACGGAGGGUGCAAGCGUUAAUCGGAAUUACUGGGCGUAAAGCGCACGCAGGCGGUCUGUCAAGUCGGAUGUGAAAUCCCCGGGCUCAACCUGGGAACUGCAUUCGAAACUGGCAGGCUAGAGUCUUGUAGAGGGGGGUAGAAUUCCAGGUGUAGCGGUGAAAUGCGUAGAGAUCUGGAGGAAUACCGGUGGCGAAGGCGGCCCCCUGGACAAAGACUGACGCUCAGGUGCGAAAGCGUGGAGAGCAAACAGGAUUAGAUACCCGUGUAGUC
rnacentral:rRNA from 1 species